rnacentral:rRNA from 1 species
CAGGAUUCCCUCAGUAAUGGCGAAUGAACAGGGAUGAGCUCAGCAUCGAAAUUGGGGCUUCUGGCCUUGACUUGUAGUUUCGAGUAGCUCCACCAACGGAGGCGCAGAUGUAAGCCUCUUGGAAAAGAGCAUCAACGAGGGCGAGAGUCCCGUUUGUCAUUUGCAGUCCCCCGUGUACGGUGUGCCUACUAAGAGUCACGUUCCUCGGGAUUGGAGCGCAAAGCGGGUGGUAAAUUUCAUCCAAAGCUAAAUAUAGGUUCGAGACCGAUAGCAAACAAGUACCAUGAGGGAAAGAUGAAAAGGACUUUGGAAAGAGAGUUAAAAGUGCCUGAAAUUGCUGAAAGGGAAGCGAAUGGAACCAGUGUAUCUUGGUGAGAUUGUUGCGUGCUAAAGUGAGUGUGUGCUGCAUCAACGCAAGUGGUGUGGUGUGCUCUAAUCUGGAUGUGCGUGGUGCUUCUUGCCUUGCGUGUCAACGUCAGUUUGGAGUUGAGGAAAACUCAAGGGACAUGGUAGUUCGCUUACGGGUGACCGAAAGUGCCUUGUAGAACUCAUCUCUGGACUGAAUAUUGUGUGUCUUGGAGCAUUGCCUCAGGGCUCAUCUCCUCCCAGGCCUCGUGCUUCGGGCUGGUGUGAUCCCUGUUGCAACCCUUGACAUGAAUAUGGUGACAAAAUGGUUUCACUCGACCCGUCUUGAAACACGGACCAAGGA